UACGAAGGGAGCUAGCGUUGUUCGGAAUCACUGGGCGUAAAGCGCACGUAGGCGGAUGUGUCAGUCAGGGGUGAAAUCCCGGAGCUCAACUUCGGAACUGCCUUUGAUACAGCACGUCUUGAGUCCGAUAGAGGUGGGUGGAAUUCCUAGUGUAGAGGUGAAAUUCGUAGAUAUUGGGAAGAACACCGGUGGCGAAGGCGGCUCUCUGGACCGAGACUGACGCUGAGGCGCGAAAGCGUGGGGAGCAAACAGG
rnacentral:rRNA from 1 species